rnacentral:rRNA from 1 species
GAUGUAGGGGGCGAGCGUUGUCCGGAUUUAUUGGGCGUAAAGCGCGCGCAGGCGGUUCGGAAAGUCGGGUGUGAAAACCCGGGGCUCAACCCCGGACCUGCAUCCGAUACUCCCGGACUGGAGGCAGGUAGGGGAGAGCGGAAUUCCCGGUGUAGCGGUGAAAUGCGCAGAUAUCAGGAAGAACACCGGUGGCGAAAGCGCUCUGCUAGGCCGCAACUGACACUGAGGGACGAAAGCUAGGGGAGCGAAUGGG